CUGAAGAGUUCCCCGCCCACACGGGGAUGAAACACGGCCCAGAUUCUUCGGGAGGCAGCAGUGGGAAUAUUGCACAAUGGGCCCAAGCCUGAUGCAGCGACGCCGCUUGAGGGAUGACGGCCUUCGGGUUGUAAACCUCUUUCAGUAGGGAAGAAGCGAAAGUGACGGUACCUGCAGAAGAAGCACCGGCUAACUACGUGCCAGCAGCCGCGGUAAUACGUAGGGUGCGAGCGUUAUCCGGAAUUAUUGGGCGUAAAGAGCUCGUAGGCGGUUUGUCGCGUCUGUCGUGAAAGUCCGGGGCUUAACCCCGGAUCUGCGGUGGGUACGGGCAGACUAGAGUGCAGUAGGGGAGACUGGAAUUCCUGGUGUAGCGGUGGAAUGCGCAGAUAUCAGGAGGAACACCGAUGGCGAAGGCAGGUCUCUGGGCUGUAACUGACGCUGAGGAGCGAAAGCAUGGGGAGCGAACAGGAUUAGAUACCCUGGUAGUCCAUGCCGUAAACGUUGGGCACUAGGUGUGGGGACCAUUCCACGGUUUCCGCGCCGCAGCUAACGCAUUAAGUGCCCCGCCUGGGGAGUACGGCCGCAAGGCUAAAACUCAAAGGAAUUGACGGGGGCCCGCACAAGCGGCGGAGCAUGCGGAUUAAUUCGAUGCAACGCGAAGAACCUUACCAAGGCUUGACAUGUUCUCGAUCGCCGUAGAGAUACGGUUUCCCCUUUGGGGCGGGUUCACAGGUGGUGCAUGGUUGUCGUCAGCUCGUGUCGUGAGAUGUUGGGUUAAGUCCCGCAACGAGCGCAACCCUCGUUCCAUGUUGCCAGCACGUAAUGGUGGGGACUCAUGGGAGACUGCCGGGGUCAACUCGGAGGAAGGUGAGGACGACGUCAAAUCAUCAUGCCCCUUAUGUCUUGGGCUUCACGCAUGCUACAAUGGCCGGUACAAUGGGUUGCGAUACUGUGAGGUGGAGCUAAUCCCAAAAAGCCGGUCUCAGUUCGGAUUGGGGUCUGCAACUCGACCCCAUGAAGUCGGAGUCGCUAGUAAUCGCAGAUCAGCAACGCUGCGGUGAAUACGUUCCCGGGCCUUGUACACACCGCCCGUCAAGUCACGAAAGUUGGUAACACCCGAAGCCGGCUAGCAGUAACGAUCCUUGUGGUCGAUGUGAGAGAC
rnacentral:rRNA from 1 species